rnacentral:rRNA from 1 species
GUGGGGAAUCUUGCGCAAUGGGCGAAAGCCUGACGCAGCCAUGCCGCGUGAAUGAUGAAGGUCUUAGGAUUGUAAAAUUCUUUCACCGGGGACGAUAAUGACGGUACCCGGAGAAGAAGCUCCGGCUAACUUCGUGCCAGCAGCCGCGGUAAUACGAAGGGGGCUAGCGUUGCACGGAAUUACUGGGCGUAAAGGGCGCGUAGGCGGACAGCUUAGUCAGAGGUGAAAGCCCAGGGCUCAACCUUGGAAUUGCCUUUGAUACUGGCUGUCUUGAGUUUGGGAGAGGUGAGUGGAACUCCGAGUGUAGAGGUGAAAUGCGUAGAUAUUCGGAAGAACACCAGUGGCGAAGGCGACUCACUGGCCCAAUACUGACGCUGAGGCGCGAAAGCGUGGGGAGCAAACAGGAUUAGAAACCCCUGUAGUCC